rnacentral:lncRNA from 1 species
UGAGAUUCCGACAAGCAAAGGAGCAGAAAACCCCGGUACAGGAGGCCUGAUACAGCCAUCCGUGUAACCUGACACGGUCCGUGUCAGGCAAAGGAGGACGUGGUGUAGAAGACAGUGGCCUGACACGGCCACCCGUGUCAGUUGACACGGGUCGUGUCAGGCAUCAUCCCCAACCGUGUCACCCAUGUCAGGGGCGUGUCAGC